CGCACCCGCGCCCUCAACCCCCGUCCUCCCGCAUCCCAGCCCGCUCGCCCCAGCCCUCUCCCCGACCUCUCCCUCCACCAGACCUCGCAGCCCCGCCCACUUCGCCGCCACCAACGCCCCGUAGACCUCGCCGCCGCCGGCCCCUCAGACCGCGCCGCCGUGGACCUCUCUCCUCGUCUCCCUCGCACCAUGCCGCCCGCAGCCUCGACCUCUCGUCAUCUGAAGGGAAGGGAAGGGAAGGAAAGAGAAGAGGGAGAGUGAGCAGGUCAGGCGGCAGCCAAGGUGCUCGCAGAUUCGCCGGCGAUGUCGUCCGACCUUGGCCUCCGAGUGCUUGUGCUCUGCCUGCUCCGCGCCCACGCAAUGGCCUGCUCAGGAUGCCGCCCUCUCCCCUGCUCCAACCCUAAUCCCCUCCCCUCCCCUCAAGCUGUUGCUCCUUUUGGUCACGCAGGUGCACGAACGCGUCCCUGCUCCUCUGGUGGACAAGGUCGGUUCCGAUUUGGAUGAGUAGCAAUUGCUACAGGUGGACGAGGCACGAGCCCUCAUGGCUCCUCCUUCCUCCUACCCCCCACCCCCCUGAACCUGAUUCCAGUUUCUAAUUAGCGGUCAGGGAGUAGAUAACUGCACAACUUUGGACAUGCAUGAGGCAGUGGUUGUUAAAAAGAUAGAUGACUGUAACAAAUAAUGUGUGAGAACAAGGAGCCAAAAAUAUUGGAAAACGACCAUAAGAUAGAUAGCAGAUUCAGUGAUUUGGUUAUUAUGGAGGUUGAUGGAACUUGGUCUACUGUCAGAAUUCAGAGCCAUAAAGCAUUGGACAUGGACAAGAGCUCUUCCAUGGCAGCAACCAGCAGCCCAAGGCCAAGGUGAGUUCCCCCUUUUCCUCCUCUUGCUGAGCUCCCUCCUUUGCCCGCCAUUUCCCUCGCUAUCUCAGUGAUAUGGUUAUAUGCGCUGCUAGAAGUGAGGAUUUGACUAUAUUUCCGAAGCGAAAAUAUAACGAAGCGAAAAUUGUUCCAGAGAUCUGGGAGUUGUACUUCUACUUCUGUUGUGAUGUGUCUUGCUUUCGUGUUUGUUUACAAUUGGCAAGUUUUAGGCUUUUACUGUCUUUAGGCCAUCCUAGCAAUACUUUUUACAGUUAUACUGUAAGGUCUGCACUAUUUGUUCUCUUCUGAAAAUAUGAUUCUUGAUGAAGUUUUACUUCACUGUUGGCAUCUCCUCUGUUUGCUGAUCUACAAAUGUGUUUUUGUUUUUACAUUGAUAGACAAACUUUUAGUCGUACUUUCUAGGAUCAUAGUUUGUUGUCAACUACUUCCACUCAUGGCUGAUAUAUGUGAGUAUUUAGGCUGGAUAAAUAUACCAUGGCCUGGACUGGUGGAUUGAGUAUAGUUGGUCCAUACAGAUUCUGUUAGACAUAACUAUCUUUUUUUUAAUCGGCCAUGUGACUGCUUGCUAACGGCUUGAAUUGACCCACUCCUACAUAUGAAAUUGUAAUUUUGUUGCUCAUGAGCACUUUUGUGUGUGUGUGCUCAUGAAGCUUCUCUUCUCCAUGGAUGAAUCUCAACUGGAAGCAGCAAGCUAUCUCAAGGGAGGGGAUUCUCAAGUCACCCCACUUCCAAUCCAUGGACGCUAUCCACAAGGACCAAGAUGACGACGACCAGGAAGGAAGGAGCCCACGCCCGACCCCGACGACGGUGGUUCCAUUUGUGUGCCGGCGUCGACCACAACAUCCCUCUCUAUAAUAUGAACAGCGGGGGGCGUCUGAGCCUGCAGUCGGAGUAGCAGCUGACGUAGCAUUUGCAGAACACCGACACGGCGUCAGCCACCUGCAGCUGCUGGGCAGAUAACAGGACGGCAAGGAGCACGCAGACAGCCACAACCUUCACUCUCUCCUUCUUCCCAGUCCCCUCCAUUGAUAAUGGAUUCUUCCUCUUGCCUGUGACAACUUUUGUUGGGUCGACGGCCCCUCUUUAUA